CAGUCGCCACGGUAAUACGAGGGGAGCUAGCGUUAUUCGGAAUUACUGGGCGUAAAGCGCACGUAGGCGGCUUUGUAAGUUAGAGGUGAAAGCCCAGAGCUCAACUCUGGAAUUGCCUUUAAGACUGCAUCGCUUGAAUCCAGGAGAGGUGAGUGGAACUCCGAGUGUAGAGGUGAAAUUCGUAGAUAUUCGGAAGAACACCAGUGGCGAAGGCGGCUCACUGGACUGGUAUUGACGCUGAGGUGCGAAAGCGUGGGGAGCAAACAGGAUUAGAUACCCGCGUAGUCCCUGUCUCUUAUAC
rnacentral:rRNA from 1 species